GUUGUUGAAACAGCAUUGCUACAAGUCUGCUGCAGGUUUGUUACAACUUGUGCGUUUUUACGCGUGUAAUACAUUGACUUGACCAUUGUUUUAUUGAAUCUAGUGGAAAGAUUUCAUGGAGUUAGGGAAAUCGUGUGAUGACGCGGAGUUAAAUGCGAGAAUCAGCGCUCUUAAAGUGAAUGAGUGUUGUACCUUAGUUUAUACC